AAACUCUUUGAUGGUCAAGCCUGUAUCUAAGUUGGUCUGAGCUUGCUGACUUCAGUGGUUGAUACAUAUAAAAUUGCCACAACUCCAUUGUUGCUUGACAAUGGACUGUAUUCCCAUAAAAAAUGUCUCUUGGGUUUUCCAUUAUUGUCACUAUACAUAACCAUUAAGUGACCUAAAGAGAUCUAGGUUAGAAAACCGUCAUUGCCACAAGAAGAAGCUGUUAAAGGGUG
rnacentral:misc_RNA from 1 species